rnacentral:lncRNA from 1 species
CACCGUCACCAUCACCGGCACCAACACCGUUACCAUCACUGUCACCAUCACCGUCACCAUCACCAAGACUGUCACCGUCACCAUCACCGUCACCAUCACCGUCACCAUCACCGUCACCAUCACCGUCACCAUCACCGUCACCAUCACCGUCACCAUCACCGUCACCAGCACCGUCACCAUCACCGUCACCAUCACCGUCACCAACACCGGCACCAGCACCGUCACCAUCACCGUCACCAUCACCAAGACUGUCACCGUCACCAUCACUGUCACCAUCACUGUCACCAUCACCGCCAUCACCGGCACCAACACCGUCACCAUCACUGUCACCAUCACCGUCACCAUCACCGUCACCAUCACCAAGACUGUCACCGUCACCGUCACCAUCACCGUCACCAGCACCGGCACCAGCACCGGCACCAGCACCGUCACUGUCACCAAUUGUUGUUGCCAUGGACACCGCUGUUGUCACCAUCACUGCUUGUCACUGUCACUAUCACAGCUACAACCGCUGUCACUGUCACCAACACUGUCACUGUCACUGUUACUGUCACUGUCACCAGUUGUUGUUGCCAUGGACACCACCGUUGUCACCAUCACUGUCACUGUCACCAUCACUGUCACUGUCACCAAUUGUUGUUGCCACGGUCACCGCUGUUGUCACCAUCACUGCUUGUCACCAUCACUAUCAGAGCUACAGUCGCUGUCACUGUCACCAACAUUGUCACCGUCACCAACACCAUCGCUGUCACCAACACCGGCACCAACACCGUCACUGUCACCAGUUGUUGUUGCCAUGGUCACCGCUGUUGUCACCAUCACUGCUUGUCACUGUCACUAUCACAGCUACAAUCGCUGUCACCAUCACUGUCACUGUUACCGUCACUGUCACCGGUUGUUGUUGCCAUGGUCACCGCUGUUGUCACCGUCACUGCUUGUCACUGUCACUAUCACAGCUACAGUUGCUGCCACCGUCACUGUCACCCACUGUCAGCUCCCAGUGUCACCCCCAGUGUCACCCAGUGUCACCCAGUAUCAGCCCCCGGUGUCACCCAGUGUCACCCAUUGUCACCCCCAGUGUCACCCAGUGUCAGCUCCCAGUGUCACCCAGUGUCAGCCCCACUGUCACCCAGUGUCACCCAGUGUCCCCCCCACUGUCACCCAGUGUCACCCAGUGUCACCUCGCAGUGUCACCCAGUGCCCCCCCACUGUCACCCAGUGUCA